ACGGGAGGCAGCAGUGGGGAAUAUUGCACAAUGGGGGAAACCCUGAUGCAGCGACGCCGCGUGAGUGAAGAAGUAUUUCGGUAUGUAAAGCUCUAUCAGCAGGGAAGAUGAUGACGGUACCUGACUAAGAAGCCCCGGCUAACUACGUGCCAGCAGCCGCGGUAAUACGUAGGGGGCAAGCGUUAUCCGGAUUUACUGGGUGUAAAGGGAGCGUAGGCGGCCAGACAAGUCAGAUGUGAAAACCCUGGGCUUAACCCGGGACCUGCAUUUGAAACUGUAGGGCUAGAGUACUGGAGAGGCAAGUGGAAUUCCUAGUGUAGCGGUGAAAUGCGUAGAUAUUAGGAAGAACACCAGUGGCGAAGGCGACUUGCUGGACAGAGACUGACGCUGAGGCUCGAAAGCGUGGGGAGCAAACAGGAUUAGAUACCCUGGUA
rnacentral:rRNA from 1 species